ACGAACGCUGGCGGCGUGCUUAACACAUGCCAGUCGAACGGAAAGGCCCUGCUUUUGUGGGGUGCUCGAGUGGCGAACGGGUGAGUAACACGUGAGUAACCUGCCCUUGACUUUGGGAUAACUUCAGGAAACUGGGGCUAAUACCGGAUAGGAGCUCCUGCUGCAUGGUGGGGGUUGGAAAGUUUCGGCGGUGGGGGAUGGACUCGCGGCUUAUCAGCUUGUUGGUGGGGUAGUGGCUUACCAAGGCUUUGACGGGUAGCCGGCCUGAGAGGGUGACCGGCCACAUUGGGACUGAGAUACGGCCCAGACUCCUACGGGAGGCAGCAGUGGGGAAUAUUGCACAAUGGGCGGAAGCCUGAUGCAGCAACGCCGCGUGCGGGAUGACGGCCUUCGGGUUGUAAACCGCUUUCGCCUGUGACGAAGCGUGAGUGACGGUAAUGGGUAAAGAAGCACCGGCUAACUACGUG
rnacentral:rRNA from 1 species